CGGACCUCAGAUCAGGCAAGACCACCCGCUGAGUUUAAGCAUAUCACUAAGCGGAGGAAAAGAAACUAACAAGGAUNUCCUUAGUAACGGCGAGCGAAC
rnacentral:rRNA from 1 species